rnacentral:tRNA from 1 species
GGAGAGGUGGCCGAGUGGUUGAAGGCGCUCGCCUCGAAAGCGAGUGUGCGGUGACCCCGUACCGUGGGUUCGAAUCCCACCCUCUCCG